rnacentral:rRNA from 1 species
GAUGAACGCUAGCUACAGGCUUAACACAUGCAAGUCGAGGGGCAGCAUGGUCUUAGCUUGCUAAGGCCGAUGGCGACCGGCGCACGGGUGAGUAACACGUAUCCAACCUGCCGUCUACUCUUGGACAGCCUUCUGAAAGGAAGAUUAAUACAAGAUGGCAUCAUGAGUCCACAUGUUCACAUGAUUAAAGGUAUUCCGGUAGACGAUGGGGAUGCGUUCCAUUAGAUAGUAGGCGGGGUAACGGCCCACCUAGUCUUCGAUGGAUAGGGGUUCUGAGAGGAAGGUCCCCCACAUUGGAACUGAGACACGGUCCAAACUCCUACGGGAGGCAGCAGUGAGGAAUAUUGGUCAAUGGGCGAGAGCCUGAACCAGCCAAGUAGCGUGAAGGAUGACUGCCCUAUGGGUUGUAAACUUCUUUUAUAAAGGAAUAAAGUCGGGUAUGGAUACCCGUUUGCAUGUACUUUAUGAAUAAGGAUCGGCUAACUCCGUGCCAGCAGCCGCGGUAAUACGGAGGAUCCGAGCGUUAUCCGGAUUUAUUGGGUUUAAAGGGAGCGUAGAUGGAUGUUUAAGUCAGUUGUGAAAGUUUGCGGCUCAACCGUAAAAUUGCAGUUGAUACUGGAUAUCUUGAGUGCAGUUGAGGCAGGCGGAAUUCGUGGUGUAGCGGUGAAAUGCUUAGAUAUCACGAAGAACUCCGAUUGCGAAGGCAGCCCGCUAAGCUGCAACUGACAUUGAGGCUCGAAAGUGUGGGUAUCAAACAGGAUUAGAUACCCUGGUAGUCCACACGGUAAACGAUGAAUACUCGCUGUUUGCGAUAUACAGCAAGCGGCCAAGCGAAAGCGUUAAGUAUUCCACCUGGGGAGUACGCCGGCAACGGUGAAACUCAAAGGAAUUGACGGGGGCCCGCACAAGCGGAGGAACAUGUGGUUUAAUUCGAUGAUACGCGAGGAACCUUACCCGGGCUUAAAUUGCAGAUGAAUUACGGUGAAAGCCGUAAGCCGCAAGGCAUCUGUGAAGGUGCUGCAUGGUUGUCGUCAGCUCGCGCCGUGAGGUGUCGGCUUAAGUGCCAUAACGAGCGCAACCCUUGUUGUCAGUUACUAACAGGUUCCGCUGAGGACUCUGACAAGACUGCCAUCGUAAGAUGUGAGGAAGGUGGGGAUGACGUCAAAUCAGCACGGCCCUUACGUCCGGGGCUACACACGUGUUACAAUGGGGGGUACAGAGGGCCGCUACCACGCGAGUGGAUGCCAAUCCCAAAAACCUCUCUCAGUUCGGACUGGAGUCUGCAACCCGACUCCACGAAGCUGGGUUCGCUAGUAAUCGCGCAUCAGCCACGGCGCGGUGAAUACGUUCCCGGGCCU